rnacentral:lncRNA from 1 species
CGACGCUCUCUAAACUGUCGCGACUGACCCGGUGAGACAAGCAGCUUGAAGCUCCUGCGGCCCUCCCGGGCCACGUCCACGGCACGGUGAGGCGCAAAGGCGUCUUGCAGCCCCACCCCUACCCCCACCCCCACUCGACGCUCUCUAAACUGCCGCGACCGACCCGGUGAGACAAGCAGCUGGAAACUCCUGCGGCCGUCCCCACCGCACGCCACACAUUCCUCAGAGGGAUGGAGAGGAUUUGGAUCCUUCUCACAGAGCAUAAAUAGUAUUAUGAAGAGCCAUUUAAGAAAUGGACAAUGGAAAUGUGGAAUCUGAGUGUGGAGAAGAAAGGCCUGAAGGCAGCAGGAUAAGAUUCUGUAUCUUUGAAUAGAAGACAACCUUUAUGUGCCUCAUGCCUGCUCCUUCCUCCUCUCUCUGCUUCCUGGCCA